rnacentral:rRNA from 1 species
AGAGUUUGAUCAUGGCUCAGGAUGAACGCUGGCGGCGUGCCUAAUACAUGCAAGUCGAACGAGGUGCUCUUGUAGCAAUACGGGAGUAUCCUAGUGGCGAACGGGUGAGUAACGCGUUGGUGACCUGCCCCAAAGUGUGGGAUAACAGUUCGAAAGGACUGCUAAUGCCGCUUGUGGUCUUCGGGCCUAGAAACCGAUGACUAAAGGAGCAAUCCGCCUUGGGAGGGACCUGCGUCCCAUCAGCUAGUUGGUAGGGUAAUGGCCUACCAAGGCUACGACGGGUAGGGGACCUGAGAGGGUGGCCCCCCACAAUGGAACUGAAACACGGUCCAUACACCUACGGGUGGCAGCAGUAGGGAAUAUUGCACAAUGGGCGAAAGCCUGAUGCAGCAACGCCGCGUGCGCGAUGAAGGCCUUCGGGUCGUAAAGCGCUUUUCUGAGAGAUGAGAAAGGACAGUAUCUCAGGAAUAAGUCUCGGCUAACUACGUGCCAGCAGCCGCGGUAAUUC